GGGGGCGACCUGGGUUCGACGCAGGCUGCGAAACCCGAGGUGCAUGCCGAGGUGCAGCUGCCUCGUAAAACUGGCUGCAAACCAAUAGUCGCCAACGACGACACCUACGCUCUGGCCGCCUAAUCCGGCCAGCCCCUGACCGGUCGGUGCCCGUGCCGCCGGACGGCCUUCGGGCCACCUCAGGGGUCGACGCACACGGGAUCGCGGUGCCGCGGGCCCGACGCGGCAUCGUCAGAAUCACAGGGCUCGCCGCCACCAUGCCCUGCCCGUCGGACGGGUGGCGGUCAAAGCAAAGACGAGGCUAAGCAUGUAGGACCGAGGGCGUAGGGUCUGCGGACGCGGGUUCGAUUCCCGCCGCCUCCACCA
rnacentral:tmRNA from 1 species